rnacentral:misc_RNA from 1 species
AAAGUUUAAACUGGUCCGGAAACAACAUAACAAAUUCAGCUAUAGGACUAAAAGGUCCUGAAAUGAAGGUAAUGAAACAAUUUAUAUUUUUGUUCUUAAAAUAUUAGCAAUGUCAGAUCAGUCAUUAUGCUUAUGCAGAUCUCUUUGCACUUUUAGGGUGGGUCAGGGGCCAGGGGUCAGGUCAGGAUAUCAUUCAGCAACCAGUAAUAGCUUUCUAACAGCAAUUAAUCACCAUAUUUCUGAAGUUUCAAACCAAUCAGCCACAAA